rnacentral:rRNA from 1 species
CCUACGGGUGGCUGCAGUGAGGAAUAUUGGUCAAUGGGCGGGAGCCUGAACCAGCCAAGUCGCGUGAGGGAAGACGGUCCUAUGGAUUGUAAACCUCUUUAGGCGGGGAGCAAUGCCGGGCACGCGUGCCCGGAGGGAGAGUACCCGCAGAAUAAGCAUCGGCUAACUCCGUGCCAGCAGCCGCGGUAAUACGGAGGAUGCGAGCGUUAUCCGGAUUUAUUGGGUUUAAAGGGUGCGCAGGCGGGAGAUCAAGUCAGCGGUAAAAUGUCGGGGCUCAACCCCGGCCGGCCGUUGAAACUGGUUUUCUAGAGUUGGAGAGAAGUAUGCGGAAUUCGUGGUGUAGCGGUGAAAUGCAUAGAUAUCACGAAGAACUCCGAUUGCGAAGGCAGCAUACCGGCUCCAUACUGACGCUGAGGCACGAAAGCGUGGGGAUCGAACAGGAUUAGAUACCCCAGUAGUC